rnacentral:tRNA from 1 species
GGGGACAUAGCUCAGCUGGGAGAGUGCUUGCAUGGCAUGCAAGAGGUCAGGGGUUCGAUCCCCCUUGUCUCCA